GUCCGCACGGUAUAAUCUAUUAUCCCGUGUGGUUGUGUUAUACCGACCGCACGGGAUAAUCUAUUAUCCCGUGCGGGC
rnacentral:pre_miRNA from 11 species